AUUUUCGGUUCCGGGAAUACAGAUUAAAAGGGAAUCGGGUGUAAAUCCCGGACAGUCCCGCUGCUGUGAAGCUCCGUUCAACAUUCUGAAAACAACUUAUGCCACUGACGAUGCAGUAGAUAGUCGUCGGGAAGGCUUCAGGAUGGGAGUCAGUCAGAAGACCUGCCGUUCGUUAAA
rnacentral:ncRNA from 1 species